GAAUCUGAGUCAUAGGCAUCAGGGAAGGCUUUUCGUAGGAGUAGAUGUCUAUACCAAACCCUGAAGAAUGAAUAGAAAUAAGCUGUUAGAGAAGUUGGCGGAAAGUAGGGAGAUAAAGAGAAUAAGAAUAUUUACCAGGAAAACAAAAUAGAGAGCACCAAACCCCAGAGGAAAGAGACAGCAUGGAGUGUGGCUGGAGCAGAAAAUGUGUGUGGGAGGAAGAUCAUUCUGGUGUGAAAAUUGGUUUGGUUGGGGAUCAAGCCUGGAGCACUGGAAACAAAUUAGGAUACUAAAUCAGUUCUCAGAAUCGAAGUUGAAUGUCCUAACAAUAGGAAGAGAUUGAUUGGAGACAGAUUAAGGAGAUGGAACCCGUAAAAGACAUACUCAUAGGAUGAAGAGACUGUGUUAAAAAGGGGACAGAAAAAUGAUGGGAUACCUUGCUUGCACCUUUCCAGGUACUUCCAGGUAAACAUUAAACAAUGGUAUGGAUAUCAGAAAAUGACACUACUGUAGAAACAAGCAGCCAAGCAUAAUAUUGGUGAAGACAGGCUUUAUUGUUGGACAAACUGGCUUUGGAAUAAUAUGACGGAUCACACUUGCUUGUCACGUAAUCUUGGGAUAAAAUUAUGUAAAUUAUUUGA
rnacentral:lncRNA from 1 species